rfam:Nicotiana attenuata strain TT chromosome 5, whole genome shotgun sequence.
GCUCUCGUAGCUCAGUUGAUUAGAGCGCCCACUUAGUAAGCGGAUGUCUUGAGUUUGACUCUCUAUGAGAGCA